GUCAUCGUAGUUCAAUUGGCUAGAACGCCUCUCUGUGGCAGAGGAAGUUGCGGGUUCGAGUCCCGUCGAUGACCCCA
rnacentral:tRNA from 1 species